rnacentral:rRNA from 1 species
UGAGUACGAGAUGCUACGGCAUCGAAGCAGUCUAUGUCAUACUUCCAAGAAAAGCUUGCACUGUCAGAAACAGAUAAUGCCUGUACCAUAACCGACACAGGUGGGUAGGUAGAGUAUACUAAGGGGCGCGAGAUAACUCUCUCUAAGGAACUCGGCAAAAUGACUCCGUAACUUCGGGAGAAGGAGUGCCUUAUUUUUAGGGUUGCAAUAACAAGAUCCAAGCAACUGUUUACCAAAAACACAGGUCUCCGCUAAGUCGUAAGACGAUGUAUGGGGGCUGACGCCUGCCCAGUGCCAGAAGGUUAAAGAAGUCGGUUAGCAUUCGCGAAGCUGGUAACUGAAGCCCUGGUGAACGGCGGCCGUAACUAUAACGGUCCUAAGGUAGCGAAAUUCCUUGUCGGGUAAGUUCCGACCCGCACGAAAGGCGUAAUGAUUUGGAUACUGUCUCGGAGAGGGGCUCGGUGAAAUAGACUUGUCUGUGAAGAUGCGGACUACCUGCACCUGGACAGAAAGACCUUAUGAAGCUUUACUGUAACUUGAAAUUGAAAUUGGACUUUAUUUGCGCAGUAUAGGUGGGAGGCGUUGAAAAUAUUCUUGCGGGAAUAUUGGAGCCAUCAGUGAGAUACCACUCUUGUAAUGUUAGAUUUCUAACUUUAUAUCAUUAUCUGGUUAAAGAACAGUUUCAGGCGGGCAGUUUGACUGGGGCGGUCGCCUCCCAAAUGGUAACGGAGGCGCACAAAGGUUUCCUCUGAACGGGUAGAAAUCGUAUCUAGAGUGUAAAGGCAUAAGGAAGCUUGACUGUGAGACCUACAAGUCGAGCAGGGACGAAAGUCGGUCUUAGUGAUCUGACGGUGCUGAGUGGAAAGGCCGUCACUCAACGGAUAAAAGUUACUCUAGGAUAACAGGCUGAUCUCCCCCAAGAGUUCACAUCGACGGGGAGGUUUGGCACCUCGAUGUCGGCUCAUCGCAUCCUGGGGCGGUAGUACGUCCCAAGGGUUGGGCUGUUCGCCCAUGAAAGCGGUACGCGAGCUGGGUUCAGAACGUCGUGAGACAGUUCGGUCCAUAUCCGGUGUAGGCGUUAGAAUAUUGAGAGGAGCCUUCUUUAGUACGAGAGGACCGAGAAGGACAUACCUCUGGUGUACCAGUUAUCGUGCCAACGGUAAACGCUGGGUAGCUAUGUAUGGAGUGGAUAACCGCUGAAAGCAUCUAAGUGGGAAGCCCACCUCAAGAUAAGUAUUCC